rnacentral:rRNA from 1 species
GUCGAACGGAAAGGCCCUUCGGGGUGCUCGAGUGGCGAACGGGUGAGUAACACGUGGGUGAUCUGCCCUGCACUUUGGGAUAAGCCUGGGAAACUGGGUCUAAUACCGAAUAUACCUCGCUGGUCGCAUGGCCUGGUGGGGGAAAGCUUUUGCGGUGUGGGAUGGGCCCGCGGCCUAUCAGCUUGUUGGUGAGGUUAUGGCUUACCAAGGCGACGACGGGUAGCCGGCCUGAGAGGGUGACCGGCCACACUGGGACUGAGAUACGGCCCAGACUCCUACGGGAGGCAGCAGUGGGGAAUAUUGCACAAUGGGCGCAAGCCUGAUGCAGCGACGCCGCGUGGGGGAUGACGGCCUUCGGGUUGUAAACCUCUUUCAGUGCCGACGAAGCGUAAGUGACGGUAGGCACAGAAGAAGGACCGGCCAACUACGUGCCAGCAGCCGCGGUAAUACGUAGGGUCCGAGCGUUGUCCGGAAUUACUGGGCGUAAAGAGCUCGUAGGUGGUUUGUCGCGUUGUCCGUGAAAACUCACAGCUUAACUGUGGGCGUGCGGGCGAUACGGGCAGACUUGAGUACUGCAGGGGAGACUGGAAUUCCUGGUGUAGCGGUGGAAUGCGCAGAUAUCAGGAGGAACACCGGUGGCGAAGGCGGGUCUCUGGGCAGUAACUGACGCUGAGGAGCGAAAGCGUGGGGAGCGAACAGGAUUAGAUACCCUGGUAGUCCACGCCGUAAACGGUGGGUACUAGGUGUGGGUUUCCUUCCUUGGGAUCCGUGCCGUAGCUAACGCAUUAAGUACCCCGCCUGGGGAGUACGG